rnacentral:rRNA from 1 species
AUUGAACGCUGGCGGCAGGCCUAACACAUGCAAGUCGAGCGGGGUUUUCGGACCUAGCGGCGGACGGGUGAGUAAUGCGUAGGAAGCUACCCGAUAGAGGGGGAUACCAGUUGGAAACGACUGUUAAUACCGCAUAAUGUCUACGGACCAAAGUGUGGGACCUUCGGGCCAUAUGCUAUCGGAUGCGCCUACGUGGGAUUAGCUAGUUGGGGAGGUAAUGGCUCACCAAGGCGACGAUCCCUAGCUGGUUUGAGAGGAUGAUCAGCCACACUGGAACUGAGACACGGUCCAGACUCCUACGGGAGGCAGCAGUGGGGAAUAUUGGACAAUGGGCGCAAGCCUGAUCCAGCCAUGCCGCGUGUGUGAAGAAGGCCUUCGGGUUGUAAAGCACUUUCAGUAGGGAGGAAGCGUUGUGUGUUAAUAGUACACAGCGUUGACGUUACCUACAGAAGAAGCACCGGCUAACUCUGUGCCAGCCGCCGCAGUAAUAC